rnacentral:rRNA from 1 species
GACGAACGCUGGCGGCGUGCUUAACACAUGCAAGUCGAACGGAAAGGCCCUGCUUUUGUGGGGUGCUCGAGUGGCGAACGGGUGAGUAACACGUGAGUAACCUGCCCUUGACUUUGGGAUAACUUCAGGAAACUGGGGCUAAUACCGGAUAGGAGCUCCUGCUGCAUGGUGGGGGUUGGAAAGUUUCGGCGGUUGGGGAUGGACUCGCGGCUUAUCAGUUUGUUGGUGGGGUAGUGGCAUACCAAGGCUUUGACGGGUAGCCGGCCUGAGCGGGUGACCGGCCACAAUGGGACUGAGAUACGGCCCAGACUCCUACGGGAGGCAGCAGUGGGGAAUAUUGCACAAUGGGCGGAAGCCUGAGGCAACAGCGCCGCGUGCGGAAAGACGGCCUGCGGGUGGUAAACCGCUUUCGCCUGUGACGAAGCGUGAGUGACGGUAAUGAAUAAAGAAGCACCGGCUAACUACGUG